rnacentral:pre_miRNA from 1 species
UUUAUACUCCCUCCGUUCCAAAUUACUUGUCGCUGAAAUGGAUGUAUCUAGAACUAAAAUACAUCUAGAUACAUCCAUACGUGAGACAAGUAAUUUGGAACGGAGGGAGUAUGAU